rnacentral:rRNA from 1 species
AGUACGCUGGCGGCAUGCUUACACAUGCGACCUAAAAACGGGUUUAAGUUUAUUCACCCUUAAACUCGUAGCGGACGGGUGAGUAACGCGUAAGAACCUACCUUUAGGUAAGGAAUAACUAUUGGAAACGAUAGAUAAUACCUUAUAAGCUUAUAGUAAAAGAUAAAAUCGCCUACGGAUGGGCUUGCGUCUGAUUAGCUUGUUGGUGAUUUAAAAGAUUCACCAAGGCAACGAUCAGUAGUUGGUCUAAGAGGAUGAUCAACCACACUGGGACUGAGACACGGACCAGACCUCUACGGAGGGCAGCAGUGAGGAAUUUUCCGCAAUGGGCGAAAGCCUGACGGAGCAAUGCCGCGUGGAGGAUGAAAGCUUGUGAGUCGUAAACUCCUUUUCUUAGUGAAGAAAUAAGACGGUAUCUAAGGAAUAAGCAUCGGCUAACUCCGUGCCAGCAGCCGCGGUAAUACGGAGGAUGCAAGCGUUAUUCGGAAUUAUUGGGCGUAACAGCGUCUGUAGGUGGUACUAUAAUAAAGUCUACUGUAUAAAUAUUAAGGCUUAACCCUUAAAAAAGCGGUAUGAACACUAAACAAACUUGAGUUUAGUACCAGGUCGAGGGAAUUCUCGGGUGUAGUGGUGAAAAUGCGUAGAAGAUCAGAAGAAGAACACCGGGUCCGCGAAAAGCGCUCUAACUGGGGACUCAAAAAAUGAACCCUUGAGAGACGAACAGCUAGGGGACCACAUUCAGGAUUACAUACCUAGUACUCUUACCUGUAACCGAUGGAUCCAAAGUGUUGGCUUAUCAAAGCCCAGGUCUGCAAUAACGCUU